rnacentral:rRNA from 1 species
CCUACGGGAGGCAGCAGUGAGGAAUAUUGGUCAAUGGGCGGGAGCCUGAACCAGCCAAGUCGCGUGAGGGAAGACGGUCCUAUGGAUUGUAAACCUCUUUAGGCGGGGAGCAAUGCCGGGCACGCGUGCCCGGAGGGAGAGUACCCGCAGAAUAAGCAUCGGCUAACUCCGUGCCAGCAGCCGCGGUAAUACGGAGGAUGCGAGCGUUAUCCGGAUUUAUUGGGUUUAAAGGGUGCGUAGGCGGAUUUUUAAGUCAGCUGUAAAAUCGCGCGGCUCAACCGCGCCCCGCAGUUGAAACUGGACGCCUUGAGUUCACAACAGGCAGGCGGAAUUCGUGGUGUAGCGGUGAAAUGCAUAGAUAUCACGAGGAACCCCGAUUGCGAAGGCAGCCUGCCGGGGUGCGACUGACGCUGAGGCUCGAAGGUGCGGGUAUCAAACAGGAUUAGAUACCCGAGUAGUC